rnacentral:rRNA from 1 species
UACGUAGGGAGCAAGCGUUGUUCGGAUUUACUGGGCGUAAAGGGCGCGUAGGCGGCAAAUUAAGUCAGCUGUGAAAUCUCCGAGCUUAACUCGGAACUGUCAGCUGAUACUGAUCUGCUAGAGUGCGGAAGGGGCAAUCGGAAUUCUUGGUGUAGCGGUGAAAUGCGUAGAUAUUGGGAGGAACACCAGUGGCGAAGGCGGCUACCUGGACCGGUUCUGACGCUGAGGCGCGAAAGCGUGGGUAGCAAACAGG